CCUCUUCGCGACGAGAUCAUCAAUGGCUACAUCCAAACCCUAGCUACGGCCCUCGGAAGGUAAAAACUGACAAAACAACAUCAGGGUUAGCGUUUUAAGUUGCAAAGUUUGAAACUUGAAUUAGUGUUAAUUAUUAUUUUUAACUAUUUUAUUUUGCAUUUGUUUUUUCAACUAGUUUGCUGUAUAAUUGCAGUGCAGAGAAGGCAAAGAAGUCAAUUUACUCUGUUUCUACAAAGUACUACUACGCAUUUGGCUGCAAAGUCCCAGAGAAUUUGACUUUUAAGAUCAAAUGUAAAUUCCUCAAAACGCUUCUAUUCUAUUAUUAUUGUUAUUAUUCAAAGUGUUUAAUUUGGUUUUGAAAAAACAAAAUUGGUUGCAGCUCUGACCAAUGUGAAAUGGGUUCUACCAGAUUCUUACUUGUGUCAUGGUGAAAAUGACUAUGGAGGUAUAAUUUUUUCUUGGUUUAUCUUCAUUUCUUCAUGUUGAGCUAGAUUUUUUUAAUAUCUAAAGUGGAAGCUACAUGAUUCAUGAACAAUGAUGUUUUUAAGAGAUAAGAAGAGAACAUUGAAAAAUAUGGAUUUUGAAAGAUUAUUGAUAUUGGUAUGAUUCAUUGCAAAUACAUCCCAAGUCAUAACUCAUCAAGUAGAAUUAGAAUGUAAGCCCUACUCAUCAUAAUACCAUGUAGACUCAUCAAGAUAAUCUCAAGCCACAAUGACUUGGUUCAUUUCAGUAGGAAAAUGAAGAAAUUCUUGUUUCCAAAGAAGAGAAAAUUCCAUAGGUGAUCCGUCGUUGUCUAUGCUAAAAAUGCAUUGG
rnacentral:lncRNA from 1 species